UACGGAGGGUGCGAGCGUUGUUCGGAAUUACUGGGCGUAAAGCGCGUGCAGGCGGCCGACUAAGUCAGGUGUGAAAGCCCGGGGCUCACCUCCGGAAGUGCGCUUGAAACUGGUCGGCUAGAGUACGGGAGAGGGAAGCGGAAUUCCUGGUGUAGCGGUGAAAUGCGUAGAUAUCGGGAGGAACACCUGUGGCGAAAGCGGCUCACUGGACCACAACUGACGCUGAGGCGCGAAAGCUAGGGGAGCAAACAGG
rnacentral:rRNA from 1 species